AGAGUUUGAUCCUGGCUCAGAACGAACGCUGGCGGCGUGCUUAACACAUGCAAGUCGAACGAGAAUCGGAGCUUGCUCCGAGGAUAGUGGCGCACGGGUGAGUAACGCGUGGAUAACCUGCCCUGGUAUCUGGGAUAACAUCUCGAAAGGGGUGCUAAUACCGGAUAAGCCCACGGGAACUUUGGUUCUUGCGGGAAAAGGUGGCCUCUGAAUAUGCUACUGUAUCAGGAUGGGUCCGCGUACCAUUAGCUAGUUGGUGGUGUAAUGGACCACCAAGGCGACGAUGGUUAGCUGGUCUGAGAGGAUGAUCAGCCACACUGGAACUGACACACGGUCCAGACUCCUACGGGAGGCAGCAGUGGGGAAUAUUGCGCAAUGGGCGAAAGCCUGACGCAGCAACGCCGCGUGAGGGAUGAAGGUUCUCGGAUUGUAAACCUCUGUCGGGGGGGACAAAACCUAUGCUGGCUAAUAUCCAGCAUAAUUGAUGGUACCCCCAAAGGAAGCACCGGCUAACUCCGUGCCAGCAGCCGCGGUAAUACGGAGGGUGCAAGCGUUGUUCGGAAUUAUUGGGCGUAAAGCGCACGUAGGUGGCUUUAGAAGUCCGGUGUGAAAUCCCUCGGCUUAACCGAGGAAGUGCGCCGGAAACCAUAAAGCUAGAGUAUCGGAGGGGAGAGUAGAAUUCCCAGUGUAGAGGUGAAAUUCGUAGAUAUUGGGAGGAAUACCGGUGGCGAAAGCGACUCUCUGGACGAUUACUGACACUAAAGUGCGAAAGCGUGGGUAGCAAACAGGAUUAGAUACCCUGUAGUCCACGCCGUAACGAUGGGUACUAGUGUCACGGGAUUUGACCCCUGUGGUGCCGUCGCUAACGCAUUAAGUACCCCGCCUGGGANUANGNCGCAAGNUGAAACUCAAGGAAUUGACGGGGCCCGCACAAGCGUGGAGCAUGUGGUUCAUUCGACGCACGCGAGANNUACUAGCUGACAUGUAAGGAUCUGAUGAAGUCGGANNCCGCAGGANCUCUAACACAGNGCUGCAUG
rnacentral:rRNA from 1 species